rnacentral:rRNA from 1 species
GACGAACGCUGGCGGCGUGCUUAACACAUGCAAGUCGAGCGGUAAGGCCCUUUCGGGGGUACACGAGCGGCGAACGGGUGAGUAACACGUGGGUGACCUGCCCUCAGCUCUGGGAUAAGCCUGGGAAACCGGGUCUAAUACUGGAUAUGACUCCAUGACGCAUGUUGUGGGGUGGAAAGCCUUGUGCGGCUGAGGAUGGGCCCGCGGCCUAUCAGCUUGUUGGUGGGGGUGAUGGCCUACCAAGGCGACGACGGGUAGCCGGCCUGAGAGGGCGACCGGCCACACUGGGACUGAGACACGGCCCAGACUCCUACGGGAGGCAGCAGUGGGGAAUCUUGCGCAAUGGGCGAAAGCCUGACGCAGCGACGCCGCGUGA